rnacentral:tRNA from 1 species
CGGGCAGUAGCUCAGUGGUAGAGCUCCCGCCUCAUACAUGGGAAAACCUGGGUUCGAUUCCCUGCUGCUUGC